CAGCAAAAUUCUACUACACAACAACCAUUUGCCCAGACCAUUGCCCCACACAAGACAGGUACACCUCAAGGAAAGAACAGAAAACAACACCCCGUCAGCUGCAAAGUCGGGCCGAAGCCUAACAUACCGCCAAUAGAGGUUGCUUCCUUUAAUGUCCUAACCGAAGUCGCCCACUCGCGCAGAGCGAUCCAAACAGAUCACUGCGUUCGAAAGUCACACUUCAUCUUAGACACAAGAAAGAGCGAACGUACAUUUAAAGGGACUCGCGUCUUCUCCUCCGAAGAGGGAGCCAGCGAGACACCUCACAUUCUGCCAUCUCUAAUCUUGACUACACAAAAAAAGAAAGGCAAGUUUGAUGUACGGACACUGAUACAAGCAUACUUCCAGGCAUAACCCGAAAGUGCAAUGUGCGUUCAAAAUUUCGAUGACUCACUGAAUUCUGCAAUUCGCAUUACGUAUCGCAGUUCGCAGCGUUCUUCAUCGAUGUGCGAGCCUAGACAUCCACUGCUGAAAGUUGUUAUGGAUUAAAACCAAAAACUUUCGUUCUCGGAGUAUAGUUCAGUAUUAAGUAAAUGGGUUUGAAAAAUACAUCGGCAGUCCGCCAUAACAGCAGCCCACCUUCGUUCAGCCUCCCCGAGAGAA
rnacentral:misc_RNA from 1 species